rnacentral:rRNA from 1 species
GACGAACGCUGGCGGCGUGCCUAAUACAUGCGAGUCGAACGCAGUGGGGACGGGUGAGUAACACGUGGGUAACCUCCCAUCAGAGGGGAUAACACUUGGAAACAGGUGCUAAACCGAUACUGAUGGAUGAACCCGCGGUGCAUUAGCUAGUUGGUGAGGUAACGGCUCACCAAGGCCACGAUGCAUAGCCGACCUGAGAGGGUGAUCGGCCACACUGGGACUGAGAAACGGCCCAGACUCCUACGGGAGGCAGCAGUAGGGAAUCUUCGGCAAUGGACGAAAGUCUGACCGAGCAACGCCGCGUGAGUGAAGAAGGUUUUCGGGUUGUAAAGCACUGUCGGUGGGGAAGCGGUACCUAAAGAGAAAGCAACGGCUAACUACGUGCCAGCAGCCGCGGUAAUAC